UUGCGGUGGCCUCUCCUGUUGCGGAGCACGGGCUCUAGGUGCGCGGGCCUCAGUUGCUGUGACUCACGGGCUUCAGAGCACAGCCUCAAUAGUUGUGGCGCACGGGCCCAGCUGCUCCGUGGCAUGUGGGAUCUUCCCAGACCAGGGCUCGAACCCAUGUCCCCUGCACUGGCAGGAGGAUUCUCAAUCACUGCGCCACCAGGGAAGCCCGCACUUUGUUCUUUCAAUGGCUGGUCCCUAUGAUGUCACAUUAAUAGCACCCAAUUUAAAACUUUCCCAUUGGCCAGCAUCAUGGUACUCCAAAGGCAUGGAAUAGGUAGAUGGCUUUAGGCCAGGGCUUGAACAUAAGCAUAGACAAUUCUUGUGAUACUGAAAUGUCAGCAUGGAAAGAUCUUGAGGGGCUGGCAUGAUGAUCUUUCUGAUGAGGUGCAUCGAGGGAAAGGGGCUUUCCCAAGUUUGAAAAGUGCUCAAAUUCCUGCUUCUCUUCUUCCCACUUCAAAGCCAGUUUCUGUAAGAUUAAUGAGCCUCCCACUCAUUCACCAAGUUUAUGCAAAAACGCGGGCGGGGGUGGUGCUGUGCAAAAGCAAGGGAACUGGCUGUGUGUGACACCAUCCAGAAGCUUUGAUGGGGGCCACUGGCCAGUCUGGCUUCCUGAGCGUGGGGCCUCUGACAUGUAGGGGAGAGGCCACCUGGAAAGCUUUGCUGGACUUGAAGAAACAAUUAGAUUAAGUCCUCCAUGGCAGUAAGUUUAAAGGGGCAACCCUUAAAAUUAAAGAAUGUCAACUUGAUGAAAGCCUCACAGAAGCUGCUCCAGUGACACCGUCUGCAUUCCAUUUCCUCAGUUGCUCUUUCUCACGUCUUUUCUACGUGUGGUUCCCUGACCUGGAUGCUUCCCCCAUCACCUAGUUAGACUGCUACUAACCUUUCUGACUUCAACUUGUGUGUCACUUCCUUGUGGAAACCUGGCCACUCCUCACUGAGGACUCUCAAAGCACCCCAUCCCGUUUGUGAUUGAUGUGUGACCCCUAGACUCUAAGCACCUGGGCAGGGACCGUUUCUGUGCUGCUCGCCACUGUGUCACCAGCAUUUAGUCCAACACCUGACACAGUAGGUACUCAAUAAAUAUUUACUGACUGAAGGAAUAACUGAAGGGAGACAUUUCCAUUCCAAUAUAAAACAGCACAGCUGUCCCCAAGUGUUGUGGCUGCUGCCAAGCGAUUCCAAAAACAGGUUAAAAGAAACCAGACCAACUUCUAAGCGGCCGUGACCCCUGCCCUGUUUACUCCCAAACACAUAAGUAACAUGCUGUGUUAUCAGAUCCAAGGGUUAGCCUUAGAGAGGAAGUGAAACACCACAGCAAAUCACCUGGAUUUUUCACUUUCUCUUCAGACAGCAGGUUGGGCUUGCUGACAGGUCACCUAGCAGCCCAGGGGAGGAGCUGCUUGAUCUAGAAGGGGUCCUGUUCUGGGGACCACGCCCGUGCCCCAGAGGCCGGCCUCGCCAGAGACCCUUCCACCCCUCCAACCCUCCUGUCCAAAGGCCCCAGCGGAAGGAUGUUCACUCCCCGCUAGAGUCAGGGCAGAUGCUCACACAGCACCCAGGCUUGCUGGGUGACGGGCAGCACUGCAGGCCUUGGCUGCCAGGUGGCUUCAACAACCGUGAUUGAGUUCUAGAUCCCUCCCCCUGCGUUUACGCUGGGGCUCCUCCGCCAGUGCAGAGGGAGAAGCGAGCCAGCCGGCUCCCCAGCCCAGUAUAUUCUCUCGCACCUGACAGAGGAGACUUGGUCUGACUGCAGGCGGCAGGAAAAGUUCAUUUCCUGAGCGAAGGCGUGAGUAACCCAGUGGAUUCUCAGCAAGACAGGUGAGCCUCUUGGAAUUGGUAACACAGGUUGCCUCAGGGAACGGGUGGGAGGGAAGCUUUUCACUUCUUUUCUUUUGUACCUCUUAAAUUUUGAGUCAUUUAAGUAUGACCUAGUCAAAAUAUUUUAAUUUGAAUGAAUUGAGCAUAAUGCCACUUUCCCGAGGGAGGGAAGGGGGGACUCUGCUUGGUCUCAAGGUAGCUUGCAGUAAGUCUGACCUGGAAAUUGACGCCACUCACCAAAGCUGACCUUUUCAGAACCAGGCUUUGUAUAUCUCCUCAAGCACUGCUUCUCAGCCUUUCACGUGCACAUGAAUCACCUGGGAGUCUUGUUGAAAUGCAGGUUCUGAUUUAGGGGGAUGAGGGAGGGGCCUGAGACUGCAUUUCUAACAAGCUCCCACAUGAUGCAGAUGCUGCUGGUCCACGGACCACACUUUGAGUAGCAGUGCUUUACAGCCACUGAGGGAGGGGGUUGAGGGCCAACCUAGUAACAACUGUUUCCACUAGACGAUUGAGCGCCAUUCGUCAUCUCAUUAGCCCUUCAGGUGGAGCCUUAGAGGAGACGGAGGGAAGCCGAGCAAGGACACUGCAAGCCCCACAGAACAGCAAGAGCCAAACCACACAGGCAGAUGCGUCUCCCAUCUGGGUGAGACGCUAUCCCCUGAGCUUCCCGAGGCUCUCCUUCCUCAUGGCCAGCUGCCUCCUCACAGGUCCAGUCCUUUCCCAGUUGCCUCCUUGGCCACCUUUAAAUUUCAUCCCUGGGGGCAAGGCCAAAUGUCCCCUUGGGUGUUGGCCAAGGUCUUUCUCUGAGGAGCCAUCAUUCGCUCUAGGGAUUUGUGCAGGUCUCAGCUAGAGGCUGGAGGAAGGCCGGAGUGCUGGGCCCAGCUGUCACGUCUGUCGGCUCUGAAGGGAAUUACAUGCGUGCUCCCCUCCCUGGGGGUCAGGUCAGUGUCUCAUUCAAGCAUCUUUUGGACAGGGCCCAGCCCACAGCAGGCAUCAGUGUUUGCUGUGUGAAUGAAUGAAUAACUGAAUGCCCUACUAAGUUCUUGGGAAAAAUGAAAACACUUUAGGCCCCUGGCCUGCCCUCCACCCCUCCCCUCCCCAGGGCCUCUUCUGCAUGAGCCACUGUGGCCACUGGGAGGCUCCCCUCCCCGCACACACAACAAAAAGCUUGUAGCAGGAUCCCAGAGCGCAGGAGAGAUGGCUGUGCCUGGAAGCCCCGUCCCAUGGGGAUGACGAUGACUCUUCCCAGUUCAGAGCUGUGGGCAGUUCUGCCCUCAAAUCUUCACCAAAUCUGCUGUCAGCCGACAGCUCUGGCUAUGCCUCCACGGUCUGCAGGUUCUGCAGCUGCUCCACGUUCACCUUCCCAUUCCCCUGGCGGCCAGGCCUGUGUGGGGCGGAUGGGGGCACUGAGGACGCUUGGGAGCCCUGCAGGCAGGGACAGCCUCCCUAAAGGCAGACUCCGCCUGCAGAAGCUCUGGCUGGCAGCGCGGCAGGCAGUGAGCGUUCGCAGAGAGCGGCAGUCUGAGGGGUCCCUGGCCGCAGCCCAGGCACGGGGAGGCGCUCAGGCCGCGGCCUCUGGAGCUGGCCCAGCAAUGAGCAGCCGCCGCGGCCCCACAGCAACAGGCGAGGCUGGCCAAGACCAGCAGGGCAACCGCUCUUUCCUCUUGCAGGGGAAGGAGCUCAGGUGAGCACCCAGGAAGUGACAGUCAGGGAGCAUGUGGGGGGCUGCUGGCACAGGCCUACCCCAGCAGAUCUCCCAGCCUCUCCAUCCUUUGCCUUCCCUCUCCAUCCUGGCUCACCACUCUCUCUUUCCCUGCCCAGGCCCAGCUCCCCACUGGAGGCUGCCAAUCGCUGAGUCAGCAGAGAAUGGAAGCUCGAAGCAGAGGGCAGCCAGCCCCAGAAAAACAAAGGGGCAUGAAAGGUCCAGAGGAAGCCUUUCCCUGCCCUCCAGCCGUUACUUCCUCUCCGGUGGCCCCUCUGCCCAACUGAAGGGACAGACCUGGACUACAGCCCGACUUCCCUGCCUCUCAUCUUUCUAGCCCCGUGAUUCACACCCGGGGGGCAGUUUGGCGACGUCUGGAGACAUUUUUGGACGUCACAGCUGUGGGGGAAGGUGCUGCUGGCGUCUGGUGGGUAGAGGCCGAGGACGCUGUCAGACACCUUACAAUGCACACAGUCGCCCCACAAAAAAAGUGAUCUGGCCCUACAUGUCAGCAGGGCCGCGGCUGAGAAGCCCUGUGUAUAGCCGGAUCCUGCCUCUUUCUAGCAGAAGUGGAGACAAGGCUGCGCAGGAUCCCAGAGAACCCCCCGCUGCAGCGCCACAGGCAGAAGCCUCUCUGGCUCUGGAAAGAGAAACCCAGGCAGUCACGGCCACCUGGGGGCUGCUGGAGGGGUGUGAAGUCCCAGAGAGCCCUCUUCACCCCCAUCCGCACUGACCUCCCCAGUUCUGGUUCUUUCUGGGGCACUGGGACAACUCCCCUGGGGCAGUGUCCCCCCCCCCCCGCCCCCGCAGGUGCUCGGAGGGUAAAGGGGGUGGGGGAGAGGUACUCACAACGCCCAUAAGCGCCACCCCUGAGCCCACGUUGAUGACUGUGGGGAUGAUGUUGAACUUCCCUGCCUGGAGCCCAGAGAGACAAGGUGGGGUGAGGAAGGCAGCAGGACAGCAGGAUCCCCAAGGACUCCACCAGAGCCAGCCUGGGGUCCCCCCAGCACGCCCCACCCUCCCAGGACCUGCCCAGCUUCAGAAGGGGAGCCUCACCCACACACCUUGCCGUUCACCAUCACAUCAAAGCGGAUCCCAUAGGCUUUAAACAGCGUGCGGAACUCCACCCCAGCCGCAUCUCGGUAAUACUUGGCAAACCUGGGGGAGACACGGCUCGGGGAGCCCUCGGCCUGCCUGGGUCUUCCCUGUUUGGCAACACAGGCUCCGCUGCCUUGGAGAUUUAUAACCCCACCCCCACCCCAGGACCCUGGCAUUCAGCAGCCCCUUGCUGAUGUGAAAUAAAAGAUUCGUUCA